CUCAGUAGGUCCUCGAGCGUGGUCCGGAUUUAUUGGGGGGAAAGCGAGUGCAGCCGGUUGAUAAAGUCUGACGUAAAGCUGUGGCUAACCCUAGUCGCUUUGAAACUGUUAACUGAGGGCAAGAGGGGAGAGGGAAUUCCAUGUGUAGCGGUGAAAGCGUAGAUAUAUGGAGGAACGCCGGUGGCGAAAGCGGCUCUCUUGGCUUGUAACUGACGCUGAGGCUCGAAAGCGUGGGGAGCAAAACAGGAUUAGAUACCCUGGUAGUCCACGCCGUAAACGAUGAGUGCUAGGUGUUAGACCCUUUCCGGGGUUUAGUGCCGUAGCUAACGCAUUAAGCACUCCGCGUGGGGAGUACGACCGCAAGGUUGAAACUCAAAGGAAUGACGGGGGCCCGCACAAGCGGUGGAGCAUGUGGUUUAAUUCGAAGCAACGCGAAGAACCUUACCAGGUCUUGACAUCCCUCUGACCGCUCUAGAGAUAGAGUUUUCCUUCGGGACAGAGGUGACAGGUGGUGCAUGGUUGUCGUCAGCUCGUGUCGUGAGAUGUUGGGUUAAGUCCCGCAACGAGCGCAACCCCUAUUGUUAGUUGCCAUCAUUUAGUUGGGCACUCUAGCGAGACUGCCGGUAAUAAACCGGAGGAAGGUGGGGAUGACGUCAAAUCAUCAUGCCCCUUAUGACCUGGGCUACACACGUGCUACAAUGGCUGGUACAACGAGUCGCAAGCCGGUGACGGCAAGCUAAUCUCUUAAAGCCAGUCUCAGUUCGGAUUGUAGGCUGCAACUCGCCUACAUGAAGUCGGAAUCGCUAGUAAUCGCGGAUCAGCACGCCGCGGUGAAUACGUUCCCGGGCCUUGUACACACCGCCCGUCACACCACGAGAGUUUGUAACACCCGAAGUCGGUGAGGUAACCGUAAGGAGCCAGCCGCCUAAGGUGGGAUAGAUGAUUGGGGUGAAGUCGUAACAAGGUAGCCGUAUCGGAAGGUGCGGUUGGAUCACCUCCUUC
rnacentral:rRNA from 1 species